UACGUAGGGACCAAGCGUUGUUCGGAUUUACUGGGCGUAAAGGGUGCGUAGGCGGUCGGGUAAGUCUGACGUGAAAUCUUCAAGCUCAACUUGGAAACUGCGUCGGAUACUAUUCGGCUAGAGGAAUGGAGGGGAGACUGGAAUACUUGGUGUAGCAGUGAAAUGCGUAGAUAUCAAGUGGAACACCAGUGGCGAAGGCGAGUCUCUGGACAUUUCCUGACGCUGAGGCACGAAAGCCAGGGGAGCAAACGGG
rnacentral:rRNA from 1 species